GCAUGGCUGAAUUCUGUAUUACUCUUGAAAUAGUAAAUGCAGUCAGACACCAUGCUAAAGUAACGUUUUCACACACUGACUUUGCAGGAUAACGGUGCUAAUUCAGUGCCUCAUUCUUAUGUCAGAGUGAUAACAGAA
rnacentral:snoRNA from 1 species